rnacentral:rRNA from 1 species
GGAAGGGGUGUAUUUAUUAGAUUAAAAACCAAUGCCCUUCGGGGCUUCCUGGUGAUUCAUAAUAACUUCUCGAAUCGCACGGCCUUGCGCCGGCGAUGGUUCAUUCAAAUUUCUGCCCUAUCAACUUUCGACGGCUGGGUCUUGGCCAGCCGUGGUGACAACGGGUAACGGAGGGUUAGGGCUCGACCCCGGAGAAGGAGCCUGAGAAACGGCUACUACAUCCAAGGAAGGCAGCAGGCGCGCAAAUUACCCAAUCCCGACACGGGGAGGUAGUGACAAUAAAUACUGAUACAGGGCUCUUUUGGGUCUUGUAAUUGGAAUGAGUACAAUUUAAAUCCCUUAACGAGGAACAAUUGGAGGGCAAGUCUGGUGCCAGCAGCCGCGGUAAUUCCAGCUCCAAUAGCGUAUAUUAAAGUUGUUGAGGUUAAAAAGCUCGUAGUUGAACCUUGGGCCUAGCCGACCGGUCCGCCUCACCGCGUGCACUGGUUCGGUUGGGUCUUUCCUUCUGGAGAACCUCAUGCCCUUUACUGGGUGUGUUGGGGGAACCAGGAC